rnacentral:rRNA from 1 species
GUCUACGGCCAUGCCACCCUGAACAAGCCUGAUGUCUGAUCUUGGAAGCUAAGCAGGGUCGGGCCUGGUUAGUACUUGGAUAAGAGACCACCUAGGAAGACCAGGUGCUGUAGGCA